rnacentral:rRNA from 1 species
GAGGAAUAUUGCGCAAUGGGGGCAACCCUGACGCAGCGACGCCGCGUGAGUGAGGAAGGCCUUCGGGUCGUAAAGCUCUGUCAAAGGGAAAGAAGUGCAUGGGGGCUAAUACCCUUCAUGUUUGACGGUACCCUUAAAGGAAGCACCGGCUAACUCCGUGCCAGCAGCCGCGGUAAUACGGAGGGUGCAAGCGUUGUUCGGAAUCACUGGGCGUAAAGGGCGCGUAGGCGGUUUGGUAAGUCAGAUGUGAAAGCCCACGGCUUAACCGUGGAAGUGCAUUUGAAACUGUCAGACUUGAGUACCAGAGGGGAAAGUGGAAUUCCCGGUGUAGAGGUGAAAUUCGUAGAUAUCGGGAGGAAUACCGGUGGCGAAGGCGACUUUCUGGCUGGAUACUGACGCUGGGGCGCGAAAGCGUGGGGAGCAAAC